UUAUUGCUAGGAGAUGGAGAAAGGAAACAGGCCCACAGAGAGGCAAAGCAGACUUGCAAGGAAUUCCUGGCCCAGUGCCUUCCCUAGCACAUCCUCCCCCCCAACCCUGGGUGGAGGCCAUUGUUUGCUGCUUUGGAGAAGGCAAGCUACACCGGAGCAGCUCUGCAGAGGCUGAGCUGGGGGCCAUGUGGACACGGAUUGACCUAGGGCUUUCUGGAAUGUAUAAGGCAGGACUGAUGCCCUUGGAGGGGGCUGCCCUCCUUUACAGGUGCCUGUGAUGGAAGUCAGAAGACCCUGGACUCAGCAAAUUCUUCACCAAGUGCGCCUGCUAUUGUUGAAAUCGCCUGGCUGGCCUACCAGAGCUAGAGCAAUGACAUAAUCCACUUCACUGGACCUCCUGACAGUCGAUUUUCCAAACAGCCAUCACAGUGGACUUUGAGAAUUUAACGCAGAAUCUGUCAAUCACUUUCCUGCAUAAAACCUGCAGCAGUGCUCACCUCACUCCGGAUGGGGACCAACAUCCUUGCAAGACCAUAGGUGAUUUUCUCCCACUCCUUUCUGACCUCCCAUCUCGUCAAAAUCCAUUCCAGCCAACUAGUUCCUGGAACAAGUUAAGCACAAUCCAUCAUGCCUCUCUGCUGCCUGUUCCUGUGCACUCAAGAACACUCUGCUCCCAGAUGCUGGACUCAAAGAGCUCAUUCCUCUCUUGUGCUGCUGGCUUCCCCUGGCUCAUAGCUUCUCUGGCCUACCUGUCUAAAUCAGUACACCUGCCCCUCUCUGGUCUGAUGCCACUACCUUCUCCAUGGUCCUCCUGGCUUACAUGCUUUUGUGGCUUAUUUGUCUGUCAACUGAUUAUCUGGAAUCUAAGAUCCUGGAGGGAGGAGUUUGUCUGUUUGAUCCCAGCUCUGUUCCAAGUGCCUGCAAUAGAGCCAGAACAGCUAAAACCAGAAUUACGGAGGCGCAGACUCAAUGACCGUUCCAUUUCUCAAGGUGAGGCUACAAAACCACUUCAGCUUACUCUCACCAGCAUCUGCGUCUGCCCCACGGUCGUCUUCAACAAGGACCUCUAGCUGUGCAGGAGUGUGCCUGCUAAGUCAAAGGUUUUCACAAUGAACCCUGCCCCAGCAAAGCCAGUUCUGACAACUUUCACUUUCUCUCUCAGCACAAGCAUCCCCCAGAGAGGUUUUAUUGACCAAGCCUCAGUUCAUAAACACUCGCAAACAUCAGAGAAGAGCGAGGGGAGAGAAACACCAACGUGAGCCAAAACACUCAUCUCUAAAAGAGAGAAAGCCUGAAGCCCAGGCUUUGAGUAGGAGAAAGGGCUGUUUACUUACGUCGCUU